AGUGAACGCUGGCGGUAGGCCUAACACAUGCAAGUCGAACGGCAGCACAGUAAGAGCUUGCUCUUACGGGUGGCGAGUGGCGGACGGGUGAGGAAUACAUCGGAAUCUACUUUUUCGUGGGGGAUAACGUAGGGAAACUUACGCUAAUACCGCAUACGACCUACGGGUGAAAUCAGGGGAUCUUCGGACCUUGCCCGAUUGAAUGAGCCGAUGUCGGAUUAGCUAGUUGGCUGGGUAAAGGCCCACCAAGGCGACGAUCCGUAGCUGGUCUGAGAGGAUGAUCAGCCACACUGGAACUGAGACACGGUCCAGACUCCUACGGGAGGCAGCAGUGGGGAAUAUUGGACAAUGGGCGCAAGCCUGAUCCAGCCAUACCGCGUGGGUGAAGAAGGCCUUCGGGUUGUAAAGCCCUGUUGUUGGGAAAGAAAAGCAGCAGGUUAAUACCCCGCUGUUCUGACGGUACCCAAAGAAUAAGCACCGGCUAACUUCGUG
rnacentral:rRNA from 1 species